AUGAUGAGCGGCGGUAGGAUGAACACAGCAGCGAGCGACGACUUCCGCUUCGCGGCAAUGCAGCCACCGCCCUACGUCGGCUUCGAGCACGCCGGCAUUGUCCAGGCCGGCGGAGGAGGAGACCAGCGCCACCAGGGCGCCAUGAUGUACGACAACUUCGACUUCGCGGCGGCUGCCGCCGCCUUCGGCCAGUUCCAGGACGCGCCGCACCACCAGAUGCUUGGGCUCCCGCGGAACGGGAGCGGCGCCUGUGGGCUCGUCCCAAUGGCUCCGCCGACCAUGCCCAGGAUGCAGCUGCAGAUGCCGCCCAUGGCCAUGCACGGCCAGGGCGACGUGUACCCGGCGCCCGGGAUGGUGAAGCGCGAGGGCGGCGGUGCCGGGGACGCGGGGAGGAUCGGGCUGAACCUCGGCCACCGGACCUACUUCUCCCCCGGGGACAUGCUGGCCGUGGACCGUAUGCUGAUGCGGUCCCGUCUCGGCGGCGUGUUCGGGCUGGGAUUCGGCCGCGCCCACCACCAAGCUCCUCGGUGCCAGGUGGAGGACUGCAAGGCGGACCUCUCGGGCGCCAAGCACUACCACCGGCGCCACAAGGUCUGCGAAUACCACGCCAAGGCCGCCCUCGUCUCCGCCGCCGGCAAGCAGCAGCGCUUCUGCCAGCAAUGCAGCAGGUUCCACAUGCUCACGGAGUUCGACGAGGCAAAGAGGAGCUGCCGGAGGCGGCUCGCAGAGCACAACCGUCGCCGGAGGAAGCCGGCGCCUGGCAGCACGGCGGCGUUGUCCAAGGAUUCGGCUCCACCUUCCAAGAAACCCAACGCCGGCGCCAUCUCCAGUUCCUACACUGCCGACAACAACACUUUCAGCACGACGAAGUCGACCAUCUCCUCCAACACGAGCGCGAUCAGCUGCCUCCAGCAGAGCCAGGCCAGGGAGGUAGCCUCGACGAGGCCGACGACGCUCACCCUCGGUGCGCCGCUGGAGGAGGACGAUGAGCAGCAGCAGAUCAGGAACGCCAUGCAGCUCCACCACCAUCAGGAGCAGCAGCACUUCAUCACCUCCCUCUUGCACAACAACAUCAAUAACAGCAACAUUCUGUCGUGUUCCUCGGUGAGCGCGCUCCAGCACGAUGCCAUCGGCGGCGGUGGCGGCCAAUGGCGAGGUCUCCGACCAGAACAACGACAAGGCCAACAACAGCAUGCAUAUGUUUGA
rnacentral:rRNA from 1 species